UAAGGUGUGGGCAGCAUGAGGACUAGGGCCAUGCCAACCCCGUCCCUUUCUCACCCCACCCAG
rnacentral:miRNA from 1 species